rnacentral:tRNA from 1 species
GCGGAUGUAGCUCAGCUGGUAGAGCGCGACCUUCCCAACGUCGAUGUCGCGAGUUCGAAUCUCGUCAUCCGCUCCA